UGUUCUUUGCUUUUCCUUUCUUUUCUUUUUUUAAUUUUAAUAAUGAUUCCAUUUGCUCCACUGUUAUCAUUGAUUAUAAUUGUCUUUUCCUGCAACUUUUACUUUUUCUCCAGCACUUCUAGCACUGAAUUUUGAAACCCAGCUUCUAAGCAUUGAUGUGAAUAUGAGUUGUUGUUCUACGAUGUUAACUUGGCAUUAGAAAUCCAUUUGCUCAACUGUUAUUAUUGAUUAUCGCUGUUUUUUCCAGCAGCUGUUACUUUUCUUUAGCAACUCCAUCUCAUGCUUAAAUCCAAGUUACUAAGCAUUAAGAGUUUCUGUUUUAUAUACUUUUCAAUUAACACCUUCGUAAUUAUUGUGAUUUCCUUUCUUAUAACUUUCAAGAAAUCUUAAAUGGCAAUCCUUGCUGCGCUCUAGCCCCCCUCCUUAAAAAAGGUUACCUUCACAAAACUUUGCACCUCGUGCUAGACUCAACUAUGCCAUCUUCAUAGAACCUGUCAACUUCCUGUCAGUUUGCAAUUCAUUAUAGAAUGGAAAAGACCUGCAUGCCGCGUCGAGAAUGGAAGUUCCAAAGCAUUUUUCAAAAUUUCAACUUGAAUGGUCUAUACUGUUUUCUGACCAAAUUGCUCAUGUUUUCAUGUCAUAUAUCAUUCUGUCUUUCUUUCCUCUUCAGAAUUUCAAGUGUGGGCAUGUGAGUGAUGGCUUUAUUUUCACCUCUUUCCUCUUCGGAUCACUUUAGUUGUUGUGUUGUUGGUGAGAAAGGAGGGGUGGAUGGUUUUUGCUGCUGUUUUUCAUAGGUUGGCGCUCCUCUCUUUGUUGGGAAUGUUGGCCUGAACUACGGGUUGCUAGGGGCUGAUUUCAGGGCUGCUGUGUUGUGACUGUUUUGGAGUCAAAUUGAGGGCUGACUUCAGGGGAGGUUAUGGCUCGUUUCUGUUCAGUGCUGGCGAGGAAGGCAGCUGGGGUUUGGUUCAGCUGUGGAGGGAAUGGCAGCUGAGUUUUAUUCGACACUAGUUCCAACUUGGUUGUUUAUUUGCUGAACAUUUUUUUUUAUAUAAUCUUCUAUUAUUAUAUUUUGUGCGAUAUGCUGAAGCCAUUGUUUCUAUUUUUCUUCCCGUUACACCAGAACAGCAUGCACAAAAUAUACUCUCACAACACUCCUUUAUAAAAAAGUGAGGGAAG